GAGUUUGAUCAUGGCUCAGGACGAACGCUGGCGGCACGCCUAACACAUGCAAGUCGAACGGAGAUAAUUGAGUUUACUUAAUUAUCUUAGUGGCGGACGGGUGAGUAACACGUGAGCAACCUGCCUCUGAGAGAGGGAUAGCUUCUGGAAACGGAUGGUAAUACCUCAUAACAUAUGCUUAAGGCAUCUUAGGCAUAUCAAAGAUUUAUCACUCAGAGAUGGGCUCGCGUCUGAUUAGCUAGAUGGUGAGGUAACGGCUCACCAUGGCGACGAUCAGUAGCCGGACUGAGAGGUUGAACGGCCACAUUGGGACUGAGACACGGCCCAGACUCCUACGGGAGGCAGCAGUGGGGAAUAUUGCACAAUGGGGGAAACCCUGAUGCAGCGAUGCCGCGUG
rnacentral:rRNA from 1 species